CCAGAUGUGGUAGAGAGAACUAAUGUUCUUUCUAUUAAACGGAACGCAAGAACCGCUUAGGGAUGAGCUUGCGGCCUAUCAGCUAGUUGGUAAGGUAAUGGCUUACCAAGGCGAUGACGGGUAGCUGGUCUGAGAGGACGACCAGCCACACUCGCACUGAGACACGGGCGAGACUCCUACGGGAGGCAGCAGUGAGGAAUUUUCCGCAAUGGACGAAAGUCUGACGGAGCGACGCCGUGUGAAUGAUGAAGUUUUUCGGAAUGUAAAAUUCUGUCGAGGGGGACGAUAUUGACGGUACCCUUGGAGGAAGCCCCGGCUAACUACGUGCCAGCAGCCGCGGUAAUACGUAGGGGGCGAGCGUUGUCCGGAAUUAUUGGGCGUAAAGGGCGUGUAGGCGGUUUUGUAAGUUGGAUGUUAAAGGUAUGGGCUCAACUCAUACAUUGCGUUCAAUACUGCAUUUCUAGAGAUUG
rnacentral:rRNA from 1 species